rnacentral:rRNA from 1 species
GACGAACGCUGGCGGCGUGCUUAACACAUGCAAGUCGAACGGUAAGGCCCUUCGGGGUACACGAGUGGCGAACGGGUGAGCAACAAGUGGGUGAUCUGCCCUGCACUUCGGGAUAAGCCUGGGAAACUGGGUCUAAUACCGGAUAGGACCACUGCCUGCAUGGGUGGUGGUGGAAAGAUUUUGCGGUGUGGGCUGGGCCCGCGGCCUAUCGGCUUGUUGGUGGGGUAAUGGCCUACCAAGGCGACGACGGGUAGCCGGCCUGAGAGGGUGACUGGCCACACUGGGACUGAGAUACGGCCCAGACUCCUACGGGAGGCGGCAGUGGGGAAUAUUGCACAAUGGGCGCAGGCCUGAUGCAGCGACGCCGCGUGAGGGAUGACGGCCUUCGGGUUGUAAACCUCUUUCAGUAGGGACGAAGCGCAAGUGACGGUACCUACAGAAGAAGGACCGGCCAACUACGUGCCAGCCGCCGCUGUAA